UUUUUUUUAAUUAACAUACUUUAUGAAUUUAUUUUUUUCUUUUCUUUUCUCAGCUUCACUCGCAAUUAAAUUAAGGUAAAAUUUUUCUUUUUUCUUCUCUUUUUUGUGUUUUUUUUUCAUUAUAUAUUUUUUUAUUUUUAAAUUUUUCUGCUCUUAGUAAUUGCAUGAAGUUUGUUGUAGGAUUGUUUUUUUCAUAUGAGAUCAAUUUUGUUGGAUUUAUUUUAGUUCUUAAUUUAAUUAUUUGUUGCUGGAUUAUGGUUUUGGAAUUGGUUUUCUAGGUUAGGUGAGUUUUUUUUUGUUGAUUUAUUUUUUGUUACUAUUGUUUAUUUUUUUUUGUUAUUUAUUUGUUGUAAAUUUCUUUGAGUUGAUUUUCUUCUUCUUUUUUUCAAGCAACUAUGUUCCUGAGUAUUAUUGAGUGUUGAUUUAUAUUAAUUUAAUUAUUUUCUACUUCUG
rnacentral:lncRNA from 1 species